UACGUAGGGCGCGAGCGUUGUCCGGAAUUAUUGGGCGUAAAGAGCUCGUAGGCGGUUUGUCGCGUCUGCUGUGAAAACCUAAGGCUCAACCUUGGGCUUGCAGUGGGUACGGGCAGACUAGUGUGCGGGUAGGGGGGUUGUGGAAUUCCCGGUGGUAGCGGUGAAAUGCGGUAGAGAUCGGGAGGAAUACCAGUGGCGAAGGCGGCACCCGUGGACCAGCACUGACACUGAGGCACGGAAAGCGUGGGGAGCAAAC
rnacentral:rRNA from 1 species